UACAGGGGGGGUAAGCGUUGUUCGGAAUUACUGGGCGUAAAGGGUUCGUAGGUGGCUUGCUAAGUCUGACGUGAAAUCCCUCAGCUUAACUGGGGAACUGCGUCUGAUACUGGCGAGCUUGAGUGCAGGAGAGGAACGCGGAAUUCCAGGUGUAGCGGUGAAAUGCGCAGAUAUCAGGAGGAACACCGAUGGCGAAGGCAGCUCGCUGGGACGGUACUGACGCUGAGACGCGAAAGCGUGGGGAGCGAACAGG
rnacentral:rRNA from 1 species